rnacentral:rRNA from 1 species
UACGGAGGGUGCAAGCAUUGAUCGGAAUUACUGGGCGUAAAGGGCGCGUAGGCGGCAGGAAAAGUCAGAUGUGAAAUUCCGGGGCUCAACCCCGGAGCUGCAUUUGAAACUCUCUUGCUAGAGUACAGUUAGGGUAAACGGAAUUCCACGUGUAGCGGUGAAAUGCGUAGAUAUGUGGAAGAACACCGGUGGUGAAGACGGUUUACUGGGCUGUAACUGACGCUGAGGCGCGAAAGCAUGGGGAUCAAACAGG